UACGUAGGGGGCGAGCGUUAUCCGGAAUUAUUGGGCGUAAAGAGUGCGUAGGUGGUUUUCAAAGCGCAGGGUUUAAGGCUAUGGCUUAACCAUAGUUCGCCCUGCGAACUGGAUAACUUGAGUGCAGGAGGGGAAAGCGGAAUUCCUAGUGUAGCGGUGAAAUGCGUAGAUAUUAGGAGGAACACCAGUGGCGAAGGCGGCUUUCUGGACUGAAACUGACACUGAGGCACGAAAGCGUGGGGAGCAAACA
rnacentral:rRNA from 1 species